rnacentral:ncRNA from 1 species
UUCCCGGCGACUGGGUUAAGUCGCACCUCCCUGUUGACUUGCCCGGGCCUUGUGCCCGGGUUUUUUA